rnacentral:tRNA from 1 species
UUUUCUAUGUCUGUGCGGUAAAGCAUCUGCCUACAAUGCAGGAGACCCAGGUUCAAUCCCUGGGUUGGGGAA